rnacentral:rRNA from 1 species
GUGUCAGCAGCCGCGGUAAGACGUAGGGGACGAGCGUUGUCCGGAUUCAUUGGGCGUAAAGCGCGCGUAGGCGGCUACGCAAGUCGGGUGUGAAACUCCGGGGCUCAACCCCGGAACUGCACCCGAUACUGCGUGGCUAGAGGUAGGUAGGGGAGAUCGGAAUUCCUGGUGUAGCGGUGAAAUGCGCAGAUAUCAGGAGGAACACCGGUGGCGAAGGCGGAUCUCUGGGCCUUACCUGACGCUCAGGCGCGAAAGCUAGGGGAGCGAACAGGAUUAGAUACCCUGGUAGUCCUAGCCGUAAACGUUGGGUGCUAGGUGUGGGCGGAUAUCGACCCCGUCCGUGCCGAAGCUAACGCAUUAAGCACCCCGCCUGGGGAGUACGGCCGCAAGGCUAAA